CCUACGGGAGGCAGCAGUGAGGAAUAUUGGUCAAUGGGCGCGAGCCUGAACCAGCCAAGUCGCGUGAGGGAAGACGGUCCUAUGGAUUGUAAACCUCUUUUGCCGGGGAGCAAAAGACGCCACGCGUGGCGUUCCGAGAGUACCCGAAGAAAAAGCAUCGGCUAACUCCGUGCCAGCAGCCGCGGUACUACGGAGGAUGCGAGCGUUAUCCGGAUUUAUUGGGUUUAAAGGGUGCGCAGGCGGAAGAUCAAGUCAGCGGUAAAAGUGAGAGGCUCAACCUCUUCGAGCCGUUGAAACUGGUUUUCUUGAGUGAGUGAGAAGUAUGCGGAAUGCGUGGUGUAGCGGUGAAAUGCAUAGAUAUCACGCAGAACUCCGAUUGCGAAGGCAGCAUACCGGCGCUCAACUGACGCUCAUGCACGAAAGUGUGGGUAUCGAACAGGAUUAGAUACCCGAGUAGUC
rnacentral:rRNA from 1 species